CGGGACGGGUGAGUAAUGUCUGGGAAACGUCUCGAUGGAGGGGGAUAACUACUGGAAACGGUAGCUAAUACCGCAUAACGUCGCAAGACCAAAGAGGGGGACCUUCGGGCCUCUUGCCAUCGGAUGUGCCCAGAUGGGAUUAGCUAGUAGGUGGGGUAACGGCUCACCUAGGCGACGAUCCCUAGCUGGUCUGAGAGGAUGACCAGCCACACUGGAACUGAGACACGGUCCAG
rnacentral:rRNA from 1 species